AAACUCGUGCCAGCAGCAGCGGUAAUACGAGUGCCCCAAGCGUUAUCCGGAAUUAUUGGGUGUAAAGGGUGCGUAGGUGGUUUUGUUAGUCUUGUGUUAAAACCCGGAGCUUAACUCCGGAUCUGCACAAGAAACGGCAUAACUAGAGGGUGUGAGAGGUCUGUAGAACUCAUGGUGUAGGGGUGAAAUCCGUUGAUAUCAUGGGGAAUACCAAAUGCGAAGGCAGCAUACUGGCACUGUACUGACACUGAGGCACGAAAGCGUGGGUAGCGAAUGGGAUUAGAUACCCCAGUAGUCCACGCCCUAAACGAUGCAGAUUAGCUUUUCGGAGUAUCGACCCUCUGAGAGGCGUAGCUAACGCGUUAAAUCUGCCGCCUGGGAAGUACGGCCGCAAGGCUAAAACUCAAAGGAAUAGACGGGGACUCGCACAAGUGGUGGAUUAUGUGGUUUAAUUCGAUGAUAAACGAAGAACCUUACCAAGGUUAGAAAUCUAGACGAAGAUACGCAGAAACGUGUAUCGUCUUCGGACGGCUAGACAGGUGAUGCAUGGUUGUCGUCAGUUCGUGGUUUGAAUUGUUCCCUUAAGUGGGGUAACGAACGAAACCCUCGUCGUGUGUUUUAUUUGUCACACGAGACUGCCCCCUCUGUGUUUAUGAGAUGCUUGCAUUUUAUGGACACAAUGGAAUACUCAAUUUUUUAAAUUUAUUUAUUAUUUUGUGUAUUCCAUUGUGUUCAGAAGAUCUUGCGAUUCGUAAAUAGAGAGGGGGGAGGAAGGAGAGGAUGACGCCAAAUCAGCAUGUCCCUUGAUACCUUGGGCUACACACGUAAUACAAUGGCCGUUACAAUGGGUUGCAAUGCCGCGAGGCGGAGCUAAUCCUUAAAGGCGGCCCCAGUUCGGAUUGAAGUCUGCAACUCGACUUCAUGAAGCUGGAAUCGCUAGUAAUC
rnacentral:rRNA from 1 species